UACGAGGGGGGCGAGCGUUGUUCGGAAUUAUUGGGCGUAAAGGGUGCGUAGGCGGUUUGGUAAGUCUGAUGUGAAAUCUAUGGGCUCAACUCAUAGUCUGCAUCGGAAACUGCCGGGCUUGAGUGUGGGAGAGGUGAGUGGAAUUCCUAGUGUAGCGGUGAAAUGCGUAGAUAUCAGGAGGAACACCUGUGGCGAAAGCGGCUCACUGGACCAUAACUGACGCUGAUGCACGAAAGCUAGGGGAGCAAACAGG
rnacentral:rRNA from 1 species